rnacentral:rRNA from 1 species
GACGAACGCUGGCGGCGUGCUUAACACAUGCACGUCGAGCUGAGCGGCGAACGGGUGAGUAACGCGUGUGUAACUGCCCCCCUCUCUGGGAUAACAGUUGGAAACGGCUGCUAAUACCGGAUAGUGGGGGAUGACUCGCGUCCGAUCAGCUUGUUGGUUGGGUAGUGGCCUACCAAGGCGACGACGGGUUGCCGGCCUGAGAGGGCGACCGGCCACAUUGGGCUGAGAGACGGCCCGAACGCAUACGGGAGGCAGAAGGUGGGAGUAGUGCACAAUGGGGGAAACCCGGAUGCAGCAACGCCGCGUGCGGGAUGACGGCCUUCGGGUUGUAAACCGCUUUCAGCCAUGACGCGGUAGUGGCAGAAGAAGCACCGGCUAACUACGUGCCAGCAGCCGCGGUAAUAC